rnacentral:rRNA from 1 species
GUUUGAUCCUGGCUCAGAUUGAACGCUGGCGGCAUGCUUUACACAUGCAAGUCGAACGGCAGCACGGGUGCUUGCACCUGGUGGCGAGUGGCGGACGGGUGAGUAAUACAUCGGAACGUAUCCUAAAGUGGGGGAUAACGCAUCGAAAGAUGUGCUAAUACCGCAUACACUCUGAGGAGGAAAGUAGGGGAUCGAAAGACCUUAUGCUUUUGGAGCGGCCGAUGUCUGAUUAGCUAGUUGGUAAGGUAAUGGCUUACCAAGGCAACGAUCAGUAGUUGGUCUGAGAGGACGACCAGCCACACUGGGACUGAGACACGGCCCAGACUCCUACGGGAGGCAGCAGUGGGGGAAUUUUGGACAAUGGGCGCAAGCCUGAUCCAGCAAUGCCGCGUGAGUGAAGAAGG